rnacentral:rRNA from 1 species
CCGGCGCACGGGUGAGUAACGCGUAUGCAACCUGCCCGUUUCAGCAGGAUAACCCGGAGAAAUCCGGCCUAAUACCGCAUGUGGCCGAGGGGAGGCAUCUUCUUUCGGCCAAAGGAGGCGACUCCGGAGACGGAUGGGCAUGCGUGACAUUAGCUUGUUGGCGGGGUAACGGCCCACCAAGGCGACGAUGUCUAGGGGUUCUGAGAGGAAGGUCCCCCACACUGGUACUGAGACACGGACCAGACUCCUACGGGAGGCAGCAG